GACGAACGCUGGCGGCGUGCCUAAUACAUGCAAGUCGAACGCAGGGGGGACGGGUGAGUAACACGUGGGUAACCGCCGAUCAGAGGGGAAAACACUUGGAAACAGGUGCUAAACCGAUACUGAUGGAUGGAACCGCGGUGCAUUGGCUAGUUGGUGAGGUAACGGCUCACCAAGGCCACGAUGCAUAGCCGACCUGAGAGGGUGACCGGCCACACUGGGACUGAGACACGGCCCAGACUCCUACGGGAGGCAGCACUGGGGAAUCUGCGGCAAUGGACGCAAGUCUGACCGAGCCAUGCCGCGUGAAUGAAGAAGGUUUUCGGGUCGUAAAACUCUGUCGGCAGGGAAGCGUUAUCUAACCAGAAAGCCCCGGCUAACUCCGUGCCAGCAGCCGCGGUAAUUC
rnacentral:rRNA from 1 species